UACGUAGGGGGCAAGCGUUGUCCGGAAUCAUUGGGCGUAAAGCGCGUGUAGGCGGCUUGGUAAGUCCGCUCUGAAAGCCCGGGGCUCAACCCCGGGAGGCGGGUGGAUACUGUCAAGCUCGAGUCCGGAAGAGGCGAGUGGAAUUCCUGGUGUAGCGGUGAAAUGCGCAGAUAUCAGGAGGAACACCAAUGGCGAAGGCAGCUCGCUGGGACGUGACUGACGCUGAGGCACGAAAGUGUGGGGAUCAAACAGG
rnacentral:rRNA from 1 species